rnacentral:rRNA from 1 species
CUUUAACUGACGCUGAGGCACGAAAGCGUGGGUAGCAAACAGGAUUAGAUACCCUGGUAGUCCACGCUGUAAACGAUGAUUACUAGGUGUGGGGGGAUUGACCCCUUCCGUGCCGCAGUUAACACAAUAAGUAAUCCACCUGGGGAGUACGGCCGCAAGGUUGAAACUCAAAGGAAUUGACGGGGGCCCGCACAAGCAGUGGAGUAUGUGGUUUAAUUCGAAGCAACGCGAAGAACCUUACCGGGGCUUGACAUCCUAGGAAGAUUUCAGAGAUGAGAUUGUGCCCUUCGGGGAACCUAGAGACAGGUGGUGCAUGGUUGUCGUCAGCUCGUGUCGUGAGAUGUUGGGUUAAGUCCCGCAACGAGCGCAACCCUUGCUUUUAGUUGCUACGCAAGAGCACUCUAGAAGGACUGCCGUUGACAAAACGGAGGAAGGUGGGGACGACGUCAAAUCAUCAUGCCCCUUAUGUCCCGGGCUACACACGUACUACAAUGGCCGUCAACAGAGGGAAGCAAUGGAGCGAUCCGGAGCAAACCCCCAAAAACGGUCCCAGUUCAGAUUGUAGGCUGCAACUCGCCUACAUGAAGUUGGAAUUGCUAGU